AAUAUUGGACAAUGGGGGCAACCCUGAUACAGCCAUGCCGCGUGUGUGAAGAAGGUCAUCGGAUUGUAAAGCACUUUAAUUUGGGAGGAAGGGCUUUAGGUUAAUACCCUGAAUUUUUGACGUUACCACAAGAAUAAGCACCGGCGAACACUGUGCCAGCGCCCCCGGUAAUACAGAGGGUCCAAGCGUUAAUCGGAAUUACUGGGCGUAAAGCGCGCGUAGGUGGUUCAGUAAGAUGGGUGUGAAAUCCCCGGGCUUAACCUGGGAACUGCUUUCAUAACUGCUGAGCUAGAGUACGGUAGAGGGUAGUGGAAUUUCCUGUGUAGCGGUGAAAUGCGUAGAUAUAGGAAGGAACACCAGUGGCGAAGGCGACUACCUGGACUGAUACUGACACUGAGGUGCGAAAGCGUGGGGAGCAAAC
rnacentral:rRNA from 1 species